GGCACUAUAGCCAAGUGGUUAAGGCGACAGAUUAGAAUGGUCUUAUUGAAAGGGCAAGUCAUCUGUUACUCUUUGAGUGCGCAGGUUCAAAUCCUGCUGGUGUCG